rnacentral:rRNA from 1 species
GACAUAGGUGGCAAGCGUUAUUCGGAAUUACUAGGCGUAAAGCGAGUGUAGGCGGACUCUUAAGUCUGACGUUAAAUCUCCCGGCUUAACUGGGAGCUGUCGUCGGAUACUGAGAGCCUCGAGUGGGGUAGGGGGCAGGGGAAUUCCCGGUGUAGCGGUGAAAUGCGUAGAUAUCAAGAGGAACACCUGAGGUGAAGACGGGUUGCUGGGCCGACACUGACGCUGACAGCGCGAAAGCCUGGGGAGCAAACGGG